ensembl:lncRNA
CUGAACCACAUCUGUGACCUACACCACAGCUCAUGGCAAUGCUGCAUCUUCAACCUACUCAGCAAGGGCAGGGAUCGAACCCACAUCCUCAUGGAUACUAAUCGGAUACAUUACCGCUAAGCCACAAUGGGAACUCCAGUCUCCACUGUUACUGGCUUAAGCUGAAGGGAUUUAUUACAAUUUAAUUAAAUGGCUUCAGAAUCACUGGCACAGCUGAAGAACAUACCUCUUGAAUGAAUUUUCAGGGACAAUCCUAAAUUCACCCCAUAGAAUGGGGCCACCCUGGUACUUGCUACCCCUUCUAAAAUCAGAAAGCCACGAGCUCCAGAACAAUGCCGCCACUGCCACAAUCAGGUGGCAAUCUAAAGGCGCGAGGCUGCCACACCACGACCACACACAUGAACAAAAUGGAUGUCUCAUGCCCUAACCUCCCAAAACCCAAAAGAUUUGGGAUUGGACACUGGGAUCACAAGCCCUACGAACUGCACCUGUCAUAGAAACAGCAGAAUCAGUGUGGCUUCCGCCUCAUUGCCACUUCCCAAAUACUGUAUGAGCGCAUCUGAUUGGCACCUAAAUCACAUCCAGAAGCUGAGCUGCAAGGAAAUCUGAGGGAAGCAGACAUCAGUCUUAUCCUCUUAUCCACCUCAGCAGUAUAAGAUGGAAAUAAAUUCCUAAAAUGUAGGGCUGUAGUUGGAUGUUAAAUGGUUUCUGUACUGGCUAAAUAUGAAAUCCAUGAAGAUUAAUGAGGAAAUGCUGAAGUACUAUUUUUAAAAACUCAGUGACAGAAAUUACUUUACAAAUAUUAACUCAUUAUUAUUAUUAUUAUUAUUGUCUUUUGUCCUUUUGGGGCCGCACCUACGGCAAAUGGAGGUUCCCAGGUUAGGGGUCUAAUGAGAGCUAUAGCUGCCGGCCUACACUGCAGCCUCAGCCACACGAGAUCCGACCCAUGUCUGUGACCUACACCACAGCUCAUGGCAAUGCUGGAUCCUUAACCCACUGAGCAAGGCCAGGGAUCAAACCCACAACUUCAUAGUUCCUAGUCGGAUCCGUUUCCACUGCACCACGACGGAAACUCCAAACUUAUUAUUAUUAAUAAAGUAUCAGGCCCAGUGAAUGCCAAGUUCUGACUAGGGCUCAGAUGAUGCAUUUGGUAGAAAAGCAAAACAAUGCUGCAGGUAAAGCCAGCAGCCAAUGGAGACUCCGGCGGAGGUGAGGUAGUGAGUGCUGCACAGGCCUGAUGUCAAGUUCAUUUUUCCAUGAUGAAAUUAUAUGGGGUAUAUUUACAAUCAAGUGAACUAUAACCCUCCACCACUCAAUAAUGAGUGAGAAAUUACUGCAGAAAGGUUGGCGAAUUAUGAUGAUAAACACAGCUGCUUUGCUGCAGCUCAUGCAGGUGUGUAUUUUAGUAAUGCUAAUGACGCCCAUUGCCUCUGCUUACUGAACCAAGGAGAUUCCCUGGGGCAAUGAGUGGGAAAGAAAGCAAGCCCAGCCCCAAAGCCUUUCUACAACCACAGCCAUCAUAACUGUCCAGCCUUUCAUGUAGUUAGUCAGUACCAACUAUAGCAAUUCAGGCUGCCCUUUAUGGAGUAUCUUCCGCAGUCCACACUGAGUGUUGCUUUACUUUGUUUUACUCACUACAUCAUCACAAGAACCCUGGAUGGCUGAUGUUAUAUACCAUUUACACUAUUUUACAGAUGAAAAAUCUCAGGUUCAGAAAAGAAAAAUCAUUUACACAAGGUCAGGGAAGUAAUAAGAUACUUAAAUGUAUCUGAAUCCACAGUAGAAAUGUAUUGGUUUUGCUUGUCCAGUAUUCUCCCCUUUCUCAGGUUUUGGCUAAAUUGACUCUGCCACUCCUGGGAUUGGUGUGGGACCCACAUAUGGUUGAUCAGCUCAUUGUGUCCUCUUGGGCACAGUGGCCAGAAGUGCCAUGUGACACACCCAAAGCCUAUUAGAGAGAAUUGCAUGGCUUUUUCUGGGUAAAAUAAAAGUGAGGGACUUUUCUCCCUUCCCUGCUACAUUGGGGUUUUAAAAGCUGGCAACCUCUUGCUACCAAAAGGAAAGAGUCUACUAAGAAUGGAGCCAACACAGUACAAAGCAGAGAAGAGAGAUGGGAGAGAGACUGGUCUUACUGAUAUCUGUUAAGUGUCUAAAACACAGACAUGCCUGAACCCAGAGAACACAUGGACGUCUCAGAAAUAGAUAAGUAGUGCAUGCUAACCGACUGUACCACUAGAGCUCCUGAGGUAUAUAGGGAAAUUAAUUCUUUUACUUCCUAGAGUCCAUUUAAUACAGACUUUGAAGCUCAUUGUCUUUCCACUGGGUCACAUUGUUUUUAAUAUCAGAGAAGAAACAACCUCCUAAAGGAAACAAAAAUUAGGUAUAAUAUAAUCAUAUACACAGUUUUAUGAUACAUUCGCUAGUUUAUAUUAAAAUCACUGAAAAGAUUUUGAGUAAAAAAGAUUUGAACGAUUUUGCCAAAAGGUAAGUUACUUGAACAUAUCAUGAAAUCUUACUGGGAAAUCUCUCAAGAUUUUCUAUUACACAUUAAUAAUAGCUUACCUCUUAAAACUGAACUCUGAGGCAGAUGGCCAAAAAGCACAAGAAAAGAUACUCAACAUCACUAAUUAUUAGAGAAGUGCAAAUCAAAACUACAAUGAGGUAUUACCUCAUACUGGUCAGAAUAGCCAUCUUCAAAAUGUCUACAAACAAUAAAUGCUGGGAAGGGUGUGAAGAAAAGGGAACCCUGCUACACUAUUGGUGAGAAUGUAAAUUGGUACAGUCACUAUGGAAAACAAUAUGGAGGUUCCUUAAAAAACUAAAAAUAGAACUACCAUAUGAUCCAGAAAUCUCACUCCUGGGCAUAUAUCUGCAGAAAACCAUAAUUCAAAAAGAUAUAUGCACAUCAGUGUUCACUGCAGCACUAAUUACAAUAGCCAAGACAUGGAAGAAACCUAAAUAUCCAUCAACAGAGGGUUCGAUAAAGAAGAUGUGGUACAUAUAUACCAUGGAAUGCCACUCAGCCAUAAAAGAGAACAAAACCAUGCCAUUUGCAGCAACAUGGAUGGACCCAGAGAUCAUCAUACUAAGUAAGUCAGAAAGAGAAAGACAAAUAUCAUGUGAUACCACAUAUGCGGAAUCUAAUAAAAAGUAUACAAAUGAAUUUAUUUACCAAACAGAAACAGACUCACAGAUUUUGAGAUCAAACUUACAGUUAUCAGGGAGUUCCCACUGUGGCUCAGUGGGUUAUGAUUCCAACUAGUAUCCAUGAGGAUUCUGGUUUGAUCCCAGACCUUGCUCAGUUGGUUAAGGAUCCAGAGUUGCCAUGAGCUAUGGUAUAAGUUGAGGACGUGGCUUGGAUUUGGUGUUGCUGUGGCUGUGGCUGGCAGCUACGGCUCUGAUUUGACCCCCUAGCCUGGGAACUUCCAUAUGUUGAGGGUGAAGCCCUAAAAGGCAAAAAACAAAAACAAAAAAACUAUGGUUACCAAAGGGGAAACACUGAAGGGAGGGAUAAAUUAGGAGUCUGGGAUUAACAUAUACACACUACUAUAUACAAAAUAGGUAAGUAACAAGGACCUACUAUAUAGAACAGGGAAUUCUACUCAAUGUUGAUAAUAUGGGAAAAGAAUCUGAAAAAGAAUAUGUAUAUAUACAUGUAUAACUGAUUCACUUUACUGCACAUCUGAAACUAACAGCAUGUUAUAAUCAACUAUAUACCCCCAAUGAAAUUUAAACAAAGUUGAACUCUACAUGCAUCCCUCAUCAUAAGCCAGGAAGAAGUGAUAUACAUGAAAAGGUCUAAUAAAAUGGAAGAAUUAGCCCAUAAAUAUAAAAACAUUUCUUUAAGAUUAUUUUAAAGAAUCACAUUUAUUGGCAAUUAUGAUACUUCUCCAUAGAAUGUCACUCAAAGUGUAGACUGUACCAAGGUAUAGUGGGCAAGUGCAGUGAGCACCAGGAUGCAGGGAGGAGAGGGCCCAAGAUAUGAGCUCCUUCUUCUUCUUCUUCUUCUUCUUCUUCUUUUUUGUCUUUUUGGGGCCGUAUCCGUGACACAUGGAGGUUUCUAGGCUAGAGGCUGAGUCAGAGCUGUAGCCACUGGACAACACCACAGCCACAGCAAUGCCAGAUCCGAGCUGUGUCUGCAACCUGCACCGCAGCUCAUGGCAAUGCUGGAUCCUUUAACCCACGGAGCAAGGUCAGAGAUCAAACAUGCAUCCUCAUGGAUGCUAGUCAGAUUUGUUUCCACUGAGCCAUGACGGGAACUCCAUACUAGCUCCUUCUUAUUCUAAUUGUCAACAAAGUACACGUAUCAGGUAGGCUAGGCUAGAUUAGGCCAGGCAGUUAAAUAAAAAGUUCUAAAUUCCUAGGGCUUUAUCUUUGUUCAGCUCCAUGAUUUGAUCCUGAUACGUGUGCAAUAUGGGUCAGGACUCUGCUCCAUGUGGUCCCUCAGAGAUGGAGGCCUCCCCAACUUGCAGCCAUACCACCUAGAAAACCUAGCUUCCUUAUCUGUUCUGGCAGAACAAGAGAGGAUGAAGGUCACACACCAUUAAGUACUCCUGCUAGAAGUAACACACAUCAUUUCUGCUCCUAACCUAAGGCAAAACUGGUCACAUUGCCUCAACGUUAACUAAAAGAGAGGCUGAAAAAAGGCAGUGAAUUACAUGAGAUAAUUGGCAAUAACUAUCUUCUAAGUGUCCAAGAGCAAAGAAGAAUGGAGUGGACCUCAAAAUGUUUUGACCAGGCUGUAACUGUAUUAUGUUUAUAGGGAAAAUUUUCAUUUAUUCAUUACUUCAUUUAGGCUUUUUAAAAAGUGAAUUUCUAUACCAAUUAGAUGGUCUGCGGUAAAUAUAAACAUUAAGAUAAUCAAUGACUCCAGAGUUGAUGUAAUUACAUUUAGUAACUUGCCCUGUGGGGUGAAUAUACCUUUAGUUAAGUAAUCAAGUAGCUAAAUCCACCUAAACUGAUAAAGGGCAAGUGUGAGCGUGGUGGGGAGCAGUGUUCAAUGUGUGUCCAUCCUCAGUCUUAGGAGAAUGUGGGUGUGCCUGCUUGGUCUGCCUCAUCUUGAUGAAUGGGAGGAAAGAUGGGAUACUCAGACCUUAAGAGUGAUUCAAGACAUGGUAUGAUGUAUUUUUAUAGAGCUCCAGAGGGCAGAAAUGUUUGUCUUUGUGAAGAAGUCUGAAUUCUUCAAACUGGUCUGAAUUUUGCCAGUAGUUCAUAAAGAAGGUGGUACCACCAUUUAGGGAGUAUUUGGGAAACUUGUGGUGGCAUGUUUGGUGGAGUUUUUUGUUUUUUUGCCUAUUAACGUAAAUGGGAGGUUGUACAGACAUUCAGUUGGUAGGAGUUCUGCAUCUCAGGACAUUCAAAAGUCUUAUCCAGCAUUCAUGUUUAUAAUCAUCUGAGCCCACAUAACUAAAAUAUGCUUUACUUACAAACAGAAAAAAUACAGGGUGUGUGUGCUUUUAUUUCUAUUAAGUUUUCCAAGAAUGCAACUAUUGUAUAAAUGGAGGGUAGUUUGCACUUUGUUUUGCUGAGUCUUGUCAAAAAUUGCUUUCUAUUUCAGAUUUAUGUUACCCCUAGCAACAGUGCUAAUGAUGUUUGCAUUCAUAACGAUUCUCCAAGUACAUGCAAAUACCUGAUGACAUUAUUGUAUUUUCUAAUGCAGUCAUGCUUGCUUGUUUAGAUAUUUGAAUAUGUAUUUUUACAAAAUGCUUUUCUUUUCUCCCUCUUUUUUAUUGUAUCGAGAAUAUUGGGUAUUUUUCAAAAUUACAGAGUAGUCAAAAGUUAUAUCUAUGAAUUUGAUUUUAGAAUAAUAAAGGAACACAUGAAAUGUUUGCUAUGAAGGGGCUGGAUCUGGAAAAGUUGAUGAGAAAUGUGUUAGACAUAUGGCAUGAUGUUUAAAAUCUUGAACUCAUGAUUCAGAGUUAAAUAGAUCUGAGUUCAAGCCAAGUUCUAUAUAACUGCAGGGAAAUAGUUUAUCUUCUCUAAACCUUAGGUCUUUUCAUCUCUAGAAUGGGAGCACUAUCUGUUACAUUAGUUAUUUCAAGAGCCAAAUGAGAUGGUUAGAUGAUUAGCUUGGAGCCUAGCCCUUAGGAAGCAGUAGAUAGAUUACAGCUAUUAUUUCUAAGUUAUUACUAGUAACAUAGCUUAAAACUCAACAUACAGAACAAAUAAUUCAAAAAUUUAUAUGGAAUCAUAAAAGACCCAGAAUUACCAAAGAAAACCUGAGGAAAAAACAAAGUGGGAGGCCUCACUCUCCCAGACUUCAGACAAUAUUACAAAGCUACAAUAAUCAAAACAGUGUGAUAUUGGUACAAAAACAGAAAUGGAACAAAAAAACAGAUCAAUGGAACAAAAUAGAGAGCCCAGCAAUAAAUUCAGACAGUUAUGGUCAAUUAAUCUUUGACAAAGGAGGCAAGAAUAUAAGAUUGGGAAAAGACUGCUCUCUUCAGCAGGUGGUGUUGGGAAAACUGGACAGCUGAAUAAAAAUCAAUGAAACUAGAACAUACCCUCACCCUGUGCACAAAAAUAAACUCAAAAUGGCUUAAAGACUUAAACAUAAGACAUGACACCAUAAAACUCCUAGAGGAAAACAUAGGAAAAACAUCCUCUGAAAUAAAUCCUAAAAUGUUUCAUUAGCUCAGUCUCCCAAGGCAACAGAAAUAACAACAGAAAUAGACAAUGGGACCUAAUCAAACAUACAAGCUUUUGCACAGCAAAGGAAACCAUUUUAAAAAAACCCAAAAAGACAACCUAAGGGAUGGGAUAAAAUAUUUACAAAGGAUACAACAGACAAGGGCUUAAUCUCUAAAAUAUAGAAACAACUCAUACAACUCAACAACAAAAAACCAGAUGGCCCAAUUGAAAAACGGCAGAAGACCUAAAUAGACAUUUCUUCAAAGACGACAUGUGUGUGAUCAGUAGGCACAUGAAAAGAUGCUUAACAUCACUAAUUAUUAGAGAAAUGCAAAUCAAAACUACAUUGAGGCACAUUUCACACCAGUCAGAAUGGUUCUCAUCAUAAGGUCUACAAAUAAAAAAUGCUGGAGAGGGGUGUGUAGAAAAGGGAACUCUCCUACACUAUUGGUGGGAAUGUAAAUUGAUAUAACCACUAUGGAAAAUGGUAUGGAGGUUCCUCAGAAAAAUAAAACAGAAUUACCAUAUGAUCUAACAAUCUCACUCGUGGGCAUAUAUGCACAAAACUAUAAUUCAAAAAGAUAAUGCACCUGUAUGUUCCAUACAGCACUAUUCACAAUAGCCAAGACAGUGAAACAACCUAAAUGUCCAUCAACUGAUGAAUGCAUUAAGAAGAUGUGGUACAUAUACACAAUGGAAUACUACUCAGCCAUAAUAAAAAAGAACAAAAUAAUGCCACUUGCAAGAACAUGGAGGCAACUAGAGAUUAUCAUACUAAGUGAAGUAAGGUGGGAAAAGAAAAACAAAUACUGUAUGGUAUCACCUAUACGUGGAGUCUAGAAUAUGGCACAAAUAGGAGUUCCUGUUAGGCUCAGCAGGUUAAGGACUUACAUAGUCUCCACGAGAAUGUGGGUUCGAUCCCUAGCCUCACUCAGUGGGUUUCAUAUCCGGUGUUCCCACAAGCUGUGGCAUAGUUUUCAGAUGUGGCUUGGAUCUGGUGUGACUGUCCAUGGUGUAGCCCUGUAGCUGCAGCUCAGAUUCAACCCCUAGUCUGGGAACUUCCAUAUGCUGCAGGUGCAUCCAUGGGGAAAAAAUAUGGCACAAAUGAACCUGUCUAUAAAAUAGAAUCAGAUUUAUGGAUAUAGAGAAUAGAUUUGUGGUUGUCAAGGGGGAGGGGGGAGGGAAUGGCAUAGACUAGGAGUUUGGGGUGAGUAGACGUAAACAUGAUUACAUUUAAGCAACAAGUUCCUACUAUAUAGCACAAGGAGCUAUAUCCAAUCCUUGGGAUAAACCAUGAUGGAAGAUAAUAUAAGAAAAUAUAUAUAUAUGUAUGUAUGUAUGUAUCUAUUUAAUGUCUGGGUCAUAAUACAACAGAAAAUGGCACAGCAUUGUAAAUCAACUAUACUUUAAUAAUAAUAGUAAAAAAAACCUCAACAUAAAACAUAUAGAAGCCACCAGAGCCCCAGAAUCUUAGAGAACUUAACUAGUAACGUCAAAAUGGCUACUUCCUUCUUUCUCUAUUUUCUCUAUUCUAGCUAAGCUGGGUCAAGGCAGCUGUGGGAGGUACAAGUUUUGGUGUAUCUAGAUAGAACCCCUGGAUUUCUUUGUCAGUAUUUUUUUGCUUUCUUUUUCCUCUUAAGCCAUAGUUACUUUACGCAACAAUGCCCUUUAUCAACUAACAAUGCAUCAUCCACCCACAGGCUGCCACCUUGGUGGGUGUUGAAAGGAUGGAUCCAUUGUUACCUGCCUCCAAAAGCUGAUUCUUUGAAAACAGACAGCUCUGCUCUUUAGGCUGGAAAUGUAUUUCCACUUUGCUUUAAGUUCAGAAAAAAUACAAGGUUUUAAUGAUAGCAGUAAAAUAUGCUUCAUGAGAUUAGCAAUCUAGACUAAAUUGGACAAUUCUCUUUAGAAACCCUUUCUUCGUAAAUUUAGUUUCAUAAUAUGAUUACUAAUUGUACAAAAAGAGACAUUUCCAACUCCUGUACUGGACCCUUGCAGACUUGAGACAUACUAUCUGGACUCUCUUCCCCCUCUGCUCACCUAAAAAACUAUAUGAUGCCAAAGAACAUACACUAGAGCUAAAGUUUCUAAGUUUUUACUCAAUUUUAGUGUUAGAGUCCAAAAUAGUU